rnacentral:lncRNA from 1 species
AUUUUACCUAUCUCUAUCAUUUUACACAGAAGAAACUUAGACUUGCCUCACUGAUAUUCAAAAGCAAUGUGACUAUUGAUGUUUUCUCAAACGUGCAGCUUUGCAGUCAUGUAGUUGAAGUAAUGACAGAUAAAUUAUUUUGUGCUUACCAGAUCCUGUUUUAUUUUAUGGGUACAGAGGGAUACUACAUUUUCUGACUUCUUUUCAGUGAGAUUGGGGCCACAUGACUCAGAUAUAGCAGAUGCCCUUUCCCAAGCCUGCAAUAAAAACCCAAGUAUAAAGUCCACUUUGCCUUUGCAAGGUGAUUUUAGGUCGUCUUUUAAAGACAGAAACAUCAUGAGAUGAAAGGAACUUGGAUCUCUAAGUCACUCCUUGAGAAAACUCUUCCAAACGAAACUGUGAACCCUGGAAAUAACACAAGAAGCAACCUAGGAAGAACUCUUGGAACCCCAGGAUUUGAGGAACAAUAUAUUGGCAUAUCACCUCACAUCUUCCCACCCAACAGGAGAACAGACAAUCCAGCAAACCAAGCUGCAUCUGCAGUGGAGAGAAAAAUACAGUGGAAUUUGCUCUGCACUCUCAAAUAUGAAUGAUGAGCCUCCUGUAUGCAAUCCACCACAUUUGGAAACUCAAAUUUAUUCCACUGUUGAGUCCUUUCAUUCAGCUCAACUGUUCAGAGAAAGAUUCUCCACAGGAACAUCUGAGCUAUUCAAUUGUA